rnacentral:rRNA from 1 species
GACGAACGCUGGCGGCGUGCUUAACACAUGCAAGUCGAACGGUAAGGCCCUUCGGGGUACACGAGUGGCGAACGGGUGAGUAACACGUGGGUGAUCUGCCCUGCACUUCGGGAUAAGCCUGGGAAACUGGGUCUAAUACCGGAUAGGACUCCUGGCUUCAUGGUUGGGGGUGGAAAGCUUUUGCGGUGUGGGAUGGGCCCGCGGCCUAUCAGCUUGUUGGUGGGGUAAUGGCCUACCAAGGGGACGACGGGUAGCCGGCCUGAGAGGGUUCCCGGUCACACUGGGACUGAGAUACGGCCCAGACUCCUACGGGAGGCAGCAGUGGGGAAUAUUGCACAAUGGGCGCAAGCCUGAUGCAGCGGCGCCGCGUGAGGGAUGACGGCCUUCGGGUUGUAAACCUCUUUCAGCUAUGACGAAGCGCAAGUGACGGUAGUAGCAGAAGAAGGACCGGCCAACUACGUGCCAGCCGCCGCGGUAA